GUUCACAGUAGUGUAUACGUUGUAGAAACAUUUAAAAUAGGUCUGCUCAUUAUCAGUUAUAUUUCAUUCAAGUGAAGCUUUUGUUUUUUUCACCUGACUGUGAAAAGCAUUUGCUUUGAUUCUGAUUUGUCUUCUUUCCAUUUUCAGUUACAUUAAUUACACCUCAGUUAUGUUUGCAUGCAUAAUUUAACAAUUUACCUAAAGAAAAAUGGCAAGUAAAAAUUCUCUGGAUGUUGUAAACCAUUCCAGUCCACAUAAGAAUAAAGUCUAAUAAUUUUUUAUUUAUUUAUUUUUUACCACAUUUUGAUCAUAUUUUAUUGAUAGUCACACAGUUUAUGGACAUUUGAGUCAACAACAGUAACCAAGGGGGGCUGAACUUAGCAAAGUGCCAGUUCACACAAAUCAUUGGAAUAGUGAGUUGAACUGGUAGCAAGAGUUUCAAAUGCUCUCUUUCAUUAGCUUGUUUGCUUUGCAUGUUUUAUCUCAUGAAAUGGCUCAACAAAUGCAGUUCUCUGUCCGGUGAAGACAUAUUUCCUGUUUAAACAGGAAGUUUGGGUGCCACUCAUCAAAUGACUUGUACAAUUUUUAAAAAGUCAGUAGGCUUGCUACAUCACAUCCAUAUACUAUGAUUUGCAACUUUUGGGGGAGGGAAAUCUCUUUCUAGAGUGCAUUUGAUUGGACAAAAAUCAGGAAAAGAAAGUGAUACGACAUGAGGGUGAAAUCAAGGUAAGUAAAUCAUUAUAAGUUUAUUUUGUUUUUUGUAUUAACUAUCCUAUUAAAUAAAAUAGCUUCCAAACCAGAUACGCCACACACUGGUACAUACCAAACACGUAGUGCCUUACUUCAAGACAUAAAUCCUCUUUACACAGACUAUCACAAUGAGUGCUGGUCAUGGACAGAUGACCCCGCUGUGUGUUACUGAAAGAGAACAGAACACACACUACACACCAUGUGUCUCUCUCGACAGGUGUUAUCACCUAAGACCCCCCAACUCUGCUGCUCGACACAAAGUCAUCCAUCACCACAGCAACAGUGCCCGACAUUGCCUGGGAAGCGAGGGACUGCCAGGGCAGAUGGAAGAGAGGCAGCUCAACUGGUCUUCCAGCAUCAGGUGGUCUGGGAAUGAUAGAGAGAGACUGAAAGAGACAGAGGGCAUCUUCCUUUGACACCAAGAAGUAAAAAAAAAAAAAAAAACCUUUCUUUUUGACACACAGACAGUAAAGACAGGUGUGUCUGUGACUGGAACUCCCAGCUGGAAACUCUAGAAAUAAAUGUACAAAGCCUUCUCA
ensembl:lncRNA